rnacentral:rRNA from 1 species
GACGAACGCUGGCGGCGUGCCUAAUACAUGCAAGUUGAGCGCUGAAGGUUGGUACUUGUACCAACUGGAUGAGCAGCGAACGGGUGAGUAACGCGUGGGGAAUCUGCCUUUGAGCGGGGGACAACUUUUGGAAACGAAUGCUAAUACCGCAUAAAAACUUUAAACACAAGUUUUAAGUUUGAAAGAUGCAAUUGCAUCACUCAAAGAUGAUCCCGCGUUGUAUUAGCUAGUUGGUGAGGUAAAGGCUCACCAAGGCGAUGAUACAUAGCCGACCUGAGAGGGUGAUCGGCCACAUUGGGACUGAGACACGGCCCAAACUCCUACGGGAGGCAGCAGUAGGGAAUCUUCGGCAAUGGACGAAAGUCUGACCGAGCAACGCCGCGUGAGUGAAGAAGGUUUUCGGAUCGUAAAACUCUGUUGGUAGAGAAGAACGUUGGUGAGAGUGGAAAGCUCAUCAAGUGACGGUAACUACCCAGAAAGGGACGGCUAACUACGUG